CAUGUCCUUUUGAAAAUAAUUUAAGGUCUGAUCUGCUCAAUGAAAAUUAAAUAGCCGCAGUAUUUUAACUGUGCAAAGGUAGCAUAGUAAUUAGUUUAUUAAUUAUAAACUGGAAUGAAUGAUUUGACAAGAAAAUUUCUGUCUCUUUAUUAGUUUUUUUUAAAUUUUAUUUUUAAGUGAAAAAGCUUAAAUUUAUUUAAAAGACGAGAAGACCCUAUAGAGUUUAAUAUAUUAUAAUAUUUGUUAUUAGAAUAUUUAUUAAUAUAAUAUAUUUGGUUGGGGUGAUUUAAAAAUUUAAUUAAUUUUUUAAUUUUUUGAUUGGUGAUUUCUAAAUUUAAUAUCUAUAAUUUAUAAUUAUAAAAUAAAUUACCUUAGGGAUAACAGCGUAAUUAUUUUUAAAAGAUCUAAUUUAAAAAAUAGUUUGCGACCUCGAUGUUGGAUUAAAAUUAAUUUUUGGUGAAGUAGCUAAAAUAUUUGGUCUGUUCGACCUUUAAAAUUUUACAUGAUCUGAGUUUAGACCGGUGUAAACCAGGUCGGAUUCUAUCUUUAGGAAAAUUUUAUAUUUUAGUACGAAAGGACCAAAUAUAAAUUAUAUUAAUUG
rnacentral:rRNA from 1 species